UGUGUAUAAUACAUGUACAUUAAGAGAAACUGGUCGUAAGUGAAGUUUAUAUGUGUGUAUUAUACAUGUACAGUAAGUGAAAUUGGUAGUAAGACAAGUUUAUAAGUGUGUGUUCUAGAAACUGGUAGUAGGAGAAGUGUAUUAGUGUGUAUUCUAAAUGUACAUUGCAUGAAACUGGUAAUACGAGGUUAACAAGUGUGUAUUUUAAAUGUACAU
rnacentral:lncRNA from 1 species